AGUGGUGGGUGACUUCUCCAGUUCAAUCUCUCUCCUCACCCACCAUCUCAAUCUUUCUUCAUUUACGGUGGCUACCUCCACGCCGAGAAGCCGCCGCCGUAUUCCAGACGUCGCCGCUGCCCACUUCUCAUUUCUUGUUCAGCCUCGUCAUCUCUCUCUGGGUGGAUGAGAUGCCGGUGGAGCUGCUCGUCGAGGCUCUUCAGAUCUAUCUGAUCCGCCCUCACGAAUCCGCUGCCGGAGUGGACGUCUCCCUCCACCAUUUCUCCGGAAAGCGCCGAUGCAAUGUCAGUGGAGCUUACGGUGGGAACGCGCAAUAAGCGACGACCUUCAACAGCGAAAAGAUUUUUGACAAAUGCCCCAAAACAUUGAGAAAACGGUUGAGAAAUCGAAGGGAUUCAUGCAGCUGUUCAAAUUUCUAAAUGAAAAGAGGAAGAGAAUGGGGUUUUAAGAGUACAAAACGACUAAAAUUGGUGAUGUGCAUUAAACGUAAUUUUAUAAUUACUUAGCCUUAGAAUAGUAGAAACUUAAUAUGUAUGCCAUAUUUUGCUAAUAUCAGUGAUAAUGUGAUGAUUUGGUGUCAAUAUGGGUGUAUCUGUUCUUAAGCAUGCAUCAAAUUCUGAAUAAUAAGAAUUUAAUUUGCAUGAAUCAUGUGCUUUUUAAAUGCAUUCUUGCAAGCUUGCAAUACAUAUGACCAUGCUAGACUGAUCUUUAGAAGUUUGUGGUCAGUUUGGUCCCAAAAUAGAUAAUAUUCUUAACUAUUGAUUAAAAUAAUAAACUCUAAUUAAUAUUUUAAAAGAAAAUAAACUAUAAUUUGAAUUUUAUCAACAUCUCUGUAAUUUGGAUUAUGUUCAAAUAUUUAUUUAAUUAAUAUAUAAACUUUACUGUCAUAUUCUGCAGUGUUUUCUGAGUACAAAAAGACUAAAAUUAAUGUUGUGAAGUCAAGGUAACUUAGAAAUUACCUAAUAUGUAUGCCAUACUUUGCUAAUAACUGUGACAAUGUUGUCAUUUUGGUGUCAAUAUGGCUGUUUGUAGAAAGCAUAAGCAAAUUCAGAAAACAAAUAUUUUACAUUGCAUGAUUCAUGUGGUGUUAAUAUGACUGUUUGUAGAAAGCAUAAGCAAAUUCUGAAAACAAAUAAUUUACUUUGCAUGAUUCAUAUGCUUUUGAAUACAAUGAUGCAUGCUUGGAACAUCUAUGAGCCUAUAUUUGUGAACCAAUUUUCUUGCAUGCAUUCGUUGGAAGAGAAGAUUGAAUUCUGGUGCCUUAUAAACAAAAAAUUACAUAAAAUUAGUAAAUAGAAACAUAUAGUGUAUAAAACUUCCUAAAUUUCAUGUAUUCUUAUUUGGUAAACAUACCAGCCUAUCAUGGAAUACUACUUCCAACGUGCUAUCAUUGCUGUCUCCAGAAUUGUACAUAAACACGGAUGCAACGGACCUUGAUGGUAGAGUUGUAACUUUAGGUAGAAGAUUGUCCUGCAACUAAUGAAUGGUGCCAUUGUCUGAGAUACAGUGCUUUCUGCUAUAGAAAAGAAAUAUUCAAAAAUCAGUGACUAAUUUAAAGAAUGUAUGCAGUUUUUAAACUAACAGCCUAUUUGUGCAGGAAAUGAUCCCAAUAUAUUGUAAAUAGAAGUGACAAAAAGGCAAAUCAUUGAACAGAAAUUGUAAAAUGAGGCCAGUGCCUUUUUAUGAGAAUAAAACCGAUCACUUAAAUUGAAUAAGACUGUGUAUUAAGUUCAGAAAAGGAACAAAUAAUUUCAUUCAUUAGUUGCAGGAACUUCAAUUGAAUAAGACUGUGUAUUAAGUUCAGAAAAGGAACAAAUAAUUUCAUUCAUUAGUUGUAGGAACUUCGUGAACCAAAAUAUGAAUGAGAGAUAGCACUCAAGAUUUCAAAGAUAAGGUGCAUCACAGCAAUGACAAAUACAUGUUAGAAAACUACCUUCGUAGUGUUGUGCUAAUUAGUUAUAGAAACUUAUAAAAACAUAAGUAACAUUAAGACAUAACAUGAAACUAAAACAGAAAAAAUAGUGAUAUAGCAGAAAUAGCAGAAACUGAAAGAAAUACAUUAAGAAUAAAGACUGCAGACUCAUAGAAGAAUAGAUAAACAAUAAAUAGGCUGUGAUUUAAGAAAAAAUAGAUGAAUUAAGAAGAAAGAUUCUAAACUAUUUCAGAUGAUGAUUCUGCUGAAUGAUUUUGGUUGAGAGAGUUUAGUGAGAGUGACUGAAGAAGUGAGUGGCAGGGGUAUUUAUAGUCUCAGUCUUACCUCUUCAGCAUGCUUGUUGGAAAAUUGUGCAUGUUCCCAAAAAAAAAAAAAAAUCAUGAGAGACCUUCCACAUAAGAACUAUUUUUUAUUUAUACAAAAUAUCUGAUAAUAAUAUUCAGACUUAAAAUACUUUAACAACUUGCAUGCCAAAUAUUUACAAAGUCUUUUACACUUAUAUUCAUAUUCAUAUUAAUUAUUAAUUAAUAUUAAUAUGAAUAUAAGUUAAAUAUUACAGAUUCAUGUCUCAUAAAUUCGGCCCAUUUAAUUUCAUAAGUUUGCAACCAUAUAAAUCAUUUAAAGCCCAAUUCAUUUCAGCAAUUAUUAACUUCACUUGUAUUAUAUAUAGUAUAAGUGACUUAUUGAGUUAAAAAAAAAACCUAACCCUAAAAAUAUAAUAGCCGCCUCUCACUCUCCACUAUUCAGAAAAAGGAAACAGAAGGAAAAGAAAAACGGCAUCUCUCUCUUUACUCUACAAUCAUUAUAGAGAGAAGAUAACAUUGCAAGCAUGGGCAGCUACAACACCUACUCUACUCCAUCAAGAUAUCAAGAUAUUAAAAAAAAAGGGAUUAAUUGCAUUGGGAAGAGAUGAAAAGAUAUUCUGGAAGAAUAGAAUAUACAAUAUACAUAUAUUGUGUAAUAUAAUAGUAUUUCUUUUACAAAAGCCUAUGCAAGUAUAAAACACAUAGGCUGCAUCCUACCCCCACACAAUUCUUGGUACAUACAAACUGAUACAAGCUUUACUUUUAAUCAACUUAACUUUAAAAUAAGAUCACAAACUUUAAGCUAA